GGGAGAAAUGCCAGAUGUGGGUGAAGGGGAGGAAGACAGCAAAUCACACUGCCAUGUGUGUACCUAUGCAACUAUCUUGCAUGUUCUGCACAUGUACCCCAAAACCUAAAAUGCAAUUUAAAAAUAUAUAUAUAAAUAUACAUAUAUAAAUUAUAUAUAAAGAUAUAAAACUAUAAGCUUGUAACCACAAACAAAGAGAACCAUGUCAUAUGUUAUUUUGCAAUCUGCUUUUCUGAAUUAUCAAUGUUAAAAAUAUCUUUUUUCGAUAUCUUUAUAUUUAAUUUUUAUUCAUUUUUUAUUUAUAAAUGAUAGAGAUGUUAGUAUUACAUCUUGCUAUGAUAACUGGUAGAAAAGUAAAAUUUUCAAUGAAAUGAUUUGGGGAGUUGUUUGAAGGAGGUCUGAUUUCAAAGAGACACUAAAUAAUUGUCUAUAUAGGAUUUUCGUCACUGUCUUAAUUGUAUUCUAUAGAGGUAAGCAAGUGUUUUGCCAAAGAAACAUUUCCUCAAAGAUUUGCAAUGAAAGAGUAUACCUGAGUCCACGACUACCCGAGUCCACGACUACCCGAGUCCACGACUGUCUAUUUUGCUUUGGCAAAACCGAGUAGAAUAGAUUGUAUUGCCAUGAAGAAUUUCUACAAGCAGCUACUUAAGACUGUGUGAGACAAUUUCUUAGGAAAUCAAUAUGAAUGGAAUUUGAACAGAGCCUGAGAGAAAGAUGGGUAGCCUCAGUUUUGGAAGCCACUUCUACUUCAAGCAGCCUGAACACAUUUCUCAGGUGCCGUCCAGAUUAUAUGUGACCUGCAGUGUGGAAGAAAUGACCCUAAAGUAAUGGUCCUUAUUCAAGUGGAAGCUGAAGGUCCUACUCCUUUUACUGGAUCUCCUUAUUUAUUCCUCUUAUCAAGGAAUAGGAAACUUCUCAAAUUUCAUUACGAUCUCAUGGUCCACCAUCAUCCGCAACUGGAUCAAGCCUCUUGGUACAGAACAUAUCAGGAUAACUUAUCAUUUUUUUCCUUCAAAAGGGGUAAGGCCUUUGUGUCUGUUGAUAAACAAUUAGUCAAAAUUCCCCUCCUUCCCUUUUGUUCCCAAAGAGUUUCAAAAUACUACUCCAUGGGAAAUUGGGAAAUGCACUUGUUUUCUCUGAAAACCAGUGAGAAGACAGAGACCUUGAUGUGGAGAUAUGGAAGAAAACAAAACUCCUUUGCCCAAAGAGAAAUGUCAAAGGUGAGUUACAACUCAGUCUUCAGAGUUCAGCAGUUAGUGAAGUAAAGAGAAAAAGAGAAGGUAUCAGUCCACCAUGGAAGACCGCAAGAAACCCACAGCAGCCUAGAUGGUCUUCAUAGCAGCCUUUGGGUGCUUCUUCAGGGGAGCGGGGAGAGCAUAAGAAUAAUAGCGAGUUUAAAAUCCUGCCAAACUCUUUCUUCACAAAGCUGUAUUUACUUUCUAAAGUGCCUGCCAUCAGUGCCCUAUCAUCAUAGAAUCCAAAAGGAAGAAAAAUGUUUAUUUUCAUGCAGUUGUUGUCCAUUACCAUGAAUGGAAAUAUAUUUAAUACUGAUGUUUCCUGUUGGUCCAUAUAAUUUUUAUUUCUUCUACCAAAAGAAGAAUAAAAAGUUAAGCCAUCCAAAGCAAAGCACCUUUUCUGAAUUUCAAGUAGACAGCCAGGCAGCACCAGAAGCUGUUAUAAAUCGAUAUUCAACAGGAAUUCAGGUAAACCAAGAUGGAUUUCCCCAAACAUGUUUGCUUACAAAACCCUUUAAUUCUUUCUCUCUUCUCUUUCUCUCCUUCUCCCUCCUUUACACACACACACACACACACACACACACACACACACACAGCAUGUGCUCUGUUACCUACAGAGUUGAUAUUAUAAUAAACCAGGGGGUGUCAAAUACAGGGGAAAGUGCAUGCAAAAGUGUUUUAAAG
rnacentral:lncRNA from 1 species